rnacentral:rRNA from 1 species
CCUACGGGAGGCAGCAGUGAGGAAUAUUGGUCAAUGGCCGUAAGGCUGAACCAGCCAAGUCGCGUGAAGGAAGAAGGAUCUAUGGUUUGUAAACUUCUUUUAUAGGGGAAUAAAGGUAUCCACGUGUGGAUAUUUGCAUGUACCCUAUGAAUAAGCAUCGGCUAACUCCGUGCCAGCAGCCGCGGUAAUACGGAGGAUGCGAGCGUUAUCCGGAUUUAUUGGGUUUAAAGGGUGCGUAGGUUGUUUUUUAAGUCAGCGGGGAAAGUUUGUGGCUCAACCAUAAAAUUGCAGUUGAAACUGGAAGACUUGAGUGUGUUUGAGGUAGGCGGAAUGCGUGGUGUAGCGGUGAAAUGCAUAGAUAUCACGCAGAACUCCGAUUGCGAAGGCAGCUUACUAAGCCAUAACUGACACUGAAGCACGAAAGCGUGGGGAUCAAACAGGAUUAGAUACCCCGGUAGUC